GUGUCAGCCGCCGCGGUAAUACAGAGGUCUCGAGCGUUAAUCGGAAUCACUGGGCUUAAAGCGUACGCAGGCGGACCGGUAAGUACUUUGUGAAAUCCCCCGGCUCAACCGGGGAACUGCUUGGUAUACUGCCGGUCUGGAGCAUGGUAGAGGCGGUCGGAACGAUAGGUGGAGCGGUGAAAUGCGUAGAUAUCUAUCGGAACGCCGAAGGUGAAGACAGGCCGCUGGGCCAUUGCUGACGCUCAUGUACGAAAGCGUGGGGAGCGAACGGGAUUAGAAACCCCGGUAGUCC
rnacentral:rRNA from 1 species